rnacentral:lncRNA from 1 species
ACUCAAAGCCUCAAUUUGAUCGAUCUUCUUGAGAGUGCUAGCUCGCAUGAAAAUCUUCUUCUUGACCAAUCUGGAUCAUUUCUUCAAAUCUUUGAAAUCUUUCCAGAGAUUAAAGAUGAACUUUUGGAGGAGAUGAAGAGAUGAAAGAAAGAUGAAAAAGAAAAUAAUUUUUUUCUAAUUUAUUUUCUCUUCCCAAACCCAAAGGAUCAAAAAUAUAAAAUUUAAAUUUUUGUGCAUACCCCA